GGGCCCGUAGCUCAGCCCGGUAGAGCGCCCGGCUCAUAACCGGGUGGUCGGGGGUUCGAAUCCCCCCGGGCCCACCA
rnacentral:tRNA from 1 species